rnacentral:lncRNA from 1 species
CCCAGUUGAUCAUCAGAGAGCCAGAAUGAAACAACCACAUAAUAAGGCAGAUAUUGGAAAUUCUUAAAAUGAUGAGCGUCUUCCCAAACUGGAAAUAAUUGAUGAGGAAUAUUUUAAACCCUGGAAGCAAAGAGAUUUCAAAAGGAGAUGCAAUUUUAAAGACACUCAUCUAUGGAGUGCCCCAAAUGCACUAGGACUGCACAGGCUGUGUGGGGAACUCAAGGUUGAAAAAGAUAUAUCCUUGGCCCUCAGGAAGACUACAGCCAGGUGCUGGAGUCCUGCCAUGCCCUUCCAUGCAGCUGGCUGGAUACCACAUGGUUCUUCGGCUCUCAUCUAGACUCUUAUGUCUGUUCUCAAUUGAUUCAAAACUCAGAGAGUGUAAAGGGGACCAUAACGAUGUCUACAUCCCAGGGCUGUCGCGAGUGAGAUCAUCCAACCAAGCACUUUGUACAACGUCUGGCAUAUUAUACCACAUAUAAUACCUUAAUAAAUGUUGUUAUAGAAAAAAACACUUAAGCCUCUGUUGCGAGCUGAAUGUUCAUCUCCCCAUAAAAUUCACAUGUUGAAACGCUACCCCCUAAUGUGAUGGUGUUAGGAAGUGGGGUCUCUGGGAGUUGAUUAGGAUUAGAUGACAACAUGAGGGUGGAGCCCUCGUGAAUGGGAUUAGUGUCCUGAUAAAGGGUGCAGAGAGAGCUUGCCCCUCCACCAUGUAAGGCUGCAGCAAGAAGACAGCUGUCUAUGAAC